rnacentral:rRNA from 1 species
UUUAUGCGAUACUUGGUGUGAAUUGCAGAAUUCAGUGAAUCAUCGAAUCUUUGAACGCAUCUUGCGCUCCUUGGUAUUCCGAGGAGCAUGCCUGUUUGAGUGUCAGUAAAUUCUCAAUCCCCUCUAGCUUUUGCAGUUGGGACUUGGAUAGUGGAGGUAUUUGCAGGCGCCCUUUGAGGGUGUCAGCUCCUCUGAAAUGUAUUAGCGGAACCGUUUGCAAUCCGUUACAGGUGUGAUAAUUAUCUACACCCCGUGGGUUGCUCUCUUAGUGUUCAGCUUCCAACUGUCCUUUCUCUGGACAACUUACUGAAAUUUUGACCUCAAAUCAGGUAGGACUACCCGCUGAACUUAAGCAUAUCAAUAAGGCGGAGGAA